rnacentral:other from 1 species
GACACCCUGCAGUGUUCGAGGUGCUUUAAUAACUGCUCUUUGCCUUAGAAUUAUUACGGGAGCCGAAACCGUCGCGGAAGAUGCUAGGCCGUCCAUCGGAAAGCAGACGCUGCGGAGGAGGCGCCCACCUUAACCUAAAAAGGUCCUGAGCCUUUGGGCAUACGGCACAGGUGGGGUGUCA